UACGUAGGGUGCGAGCGUUGUCCGGAAUUACUGGGCGUAAAGAGCUCGUAGGUGGUUUGUCGCGUUGUUCGUGAAAACCGGGGGCUUAACCCUCGGCGUGCGGGCGAUACGGGCAGACUGGAGUACUGCAGGGGAGACUGGAAUUCCUGGUGUAGCGGUGGAAUGCGCAGAUAUCAGGAGGAACACCGGUGGCGAAGGCGGGGUCUCUGGGCAGUAACUGACGCUGAGGAGCGAAAGCGUGGGGAGCGAACAGG
rnacentral:rRNA from 1 species